GUAGUAGGCUACCAUCCUCACCCACACCUUCUCUUAAACUUCUUCAAGUAGAUCCAGGUUGGCUCGGGGCAACUAUAUAUUACUUUGGUCAUUGUAAUUCUCGACCCAUAAAGAUGGAAGUCCAAAUUUCCACUGGGAUGACCGCUUCCAUUUGAAGGAGAGACUGAAAGAAGUCUCUCUCAUGGGUAUUCUCUGGUGGUUCGAUAAGCCCAAAGCAUGUUAUGUAGUUCAUCCACCCA
rnacentral:lncRNA from 1 species